UACGAAGGGGGCUAGCGUUGUUCGGAUUUACUGGGCGUAAAGCGCACGUAGGCGGGUUGUUAAGUCAGGGGGUGAAAUCCUGGAGCUCAACUCCAGAACUGCCUUUGAUACUGGCAACUAGAGGCUGGAAGAGGUUAGUGGAAUUCCCAGUGUAGAGGUGAAAUUCGUAGAUAUUGGGAAGAACACCAGUGGCGAAGGCGGCUAACUGGUCCAGAUCUGACGCUGAGGUGCGAAAGCGUGGGGAGCAAACAGGG
rnacentral:rRNA from 1 species